rnacentral:rRNA from 1 species
AGUGAACGCUGGUGGUAGGCCUAACACAUGCAAGUCGAACGGCAGCACAGUAAGAGCUUGCUCUUACGGGUGGCGAGUGGCGGACGGGUGAGGAAUACAUCGGAAUCUACUUUUUCGUGGGGGAUAACGUAGGGAAACUUACGCUAAUACCGCAUACGACCUACGGGUGAAAGCAGGGGAUCUUCGGACCUUGCGCGAUUGAAUGAGCCGAUGUCGGAUUAGCUAGUUGGCGGGGUAAAGGCCCACCAAGGCGACGAUCCGUAGCUGGUCUGAGAGGAUGAUCAGCCACACUGGAACUGAGACACGGUCCAGACUCCUACGGGAGGCAGCAGUGGGGAAUAUUGGACAAUGGGCGCAAGCCUGAUCCAGCCAUACCGCGUGGGUGAAGAAGGCCCUCGGGUUGUAAAGCCCUUUUGUUGGGAAAGAAAAGCAGCAGGUUAAUACCCCGCUGUUCUGACGGUACCCAAAGAAUAAGCACCGGCUAACUUCGUG